rnacentral:rRNA from 1 species
UACGGAGGGAGCUAGCGUUGUUCGGAAUUACUGGGCGUAAAGCGCGCGUAGGCGGCUUUGUAAGUUAGAGGUGAAAGCCCGGGGCUCAACCCCGGAAAUUGCCUUUAAGACUGCAUCGCUUGAAUCCGGGAGAGGUGAGUGGAAUUCCGAGUGUAGAGGUGAAAUUCGUAGAUAUUCGGAAGAACACCAGUGGCGAAGGCGGCUCACUGGACCGGCAUUGACGCCUGAGGUGCGAAAGCGUGGGGAGCAAACAGG